GGCGGACGGGUGAGUAACGCGUGAGCAACCUGCCUUCAGAGGGGGAGUAACGUUGGAAACGAACGCUAAUACCGCAUGACAUAGCAGUAUCGCAUGGUACAGCUAUCAAAGGAGCAAUCCGCUGAGAGAUGGGCUCGCGUCCGAUUAGAUAGUUGGUGGGGUAACGGCCUACCAAGUCGACGAUCGGUAGCCGGACUGAGAGGUUGAACGGCCACAUUGGGACUGAGACACGGCCCAGACUCCUACGGGAGGCAGCAGUGGGGAAUAUUGCACAACGGGCGCAAGCCUGAUGCAGCAACGCCGCGUGAGGGAAGACGGUUUUCGGAUUGUAAACCUCUGUCCUUGGUGAAGAUAAUGACGGUAGCCGAGGAGGAAGCCACGGCUAACUACGUGCCAGCCGCGGC
rnacentral:rRNA from 1 species